rfam:Gossypium arboreum cultivar AKA8401 contig_31033_5, whole genome shotgun sequence.
GGGUGCGAUCGUACCAGCACUAAAGCACCAGAUCUCAUCAGAACUCCACAGUUCAGUGUGCUUGGGCGAGCGUAGUACUAGGAUAGGUGACCUCCUGGGAAGUCCUCGUGUUACACCCC